rnacentral:lncRNA from 1 species
GGGAGCUCGUGACCUUGCUGGUCGGAGCUUUCCCACCAGCCUGUCUUUGGCCUUGAGACUACUUGCAGAGAGGAGGGAGCCCGUGACCUUGCUGGUCAGCAGCUUUCCCACCAGCCCGUAUCUCUUUGUGGGGAGGAGAUGGUCCAGGUGCUUGUCCUUGACGGUGUCUGUCUCCAUGGAGGAUAGCGGAUUCUGGAGCCAGGAAGCCAGAGAAGUCUUCAUGAGCCAGGAAAGCUUCCAGGCUGCAGCCAGACACAGCAAGAUCUGGGGGUGGCUUCCUCUCUUUGCAGAAUUGGAACGGAUCUCAUGACUCCAGUUAAUGUGAGGGGCCUGGGGCAUGCGUUCCCAGAUGGGCAGCAUUGUCUCAGUGAUAAGUCCACACUGGGAGAGGGGACCUUCAAGUGUGAGCCAUCACAGCAAGCCCUCCACCACCUGGUCACUACCUCUCCCAGGAACCCCAGCACUCCUGUUUCCAACCAGCCUUCCAGGCAGCCUGAGGACCCAGGAGGUGUCAGCAGGAAGGUACAGCCCUUUGAAGGGGCAGACGUGGAGGAGAUUCUAGAAGAGAGAGGCCACCUGAGCUCACCCACAGGGGAACCAAGCAUGUGCUGAGGCCAUGAGAAAGUCAGCUUCUCAAAAAGUUUUGACACCACAGCAGUGUGGUUGAGAGCAUGGGUUGUAAUGUUGUGCAGCUUUUGUUCAAUCCUCAGCUCUUCCUCGUACUCACUGUGUGACUGUGGGCCAGUUCCCGACCAGGCUGAGCCCCAGGAAGGAAUAGUCUCAACUCACAGGGUUAUUUGAGGUCUAAGUGAGAUCCUGCAAACAAAACACAGCACAGUGUUUGCCACACAGUGAGCUCUCAAUAAAUAUUUGUCAAAUGAACGUCUGAACAAAGAAAAGUGGAAAAUACUAAUAAGUAUAAACUCUCACAAUACUACAGGCAAGAAAUGGCUAUUGUAAUACUAAUUAGAUGUGUAACCUUCUGAAAUUUUUCCUGUGCAAAUAAAGAUAUGUAUUUUUAAUAAAAUGGGAUAUU